rnacentral:rRNA from 1 species
AGCGAACGCUGGCGGCAGGCCUAACCCAUGCAAGUCGAGCGGCCGUAGCAAUACGGCAGCGGCAGAAGGGAGAGUAACACGUGGGAACGUACAUUUCAGUUCGGCACAACCCAGGGAAACUUGGGCUAAUACCGGAUACGCCCGAAAGGGGAAAGAUUUAUCGCGGAAAGAUCGGCCCGCGUCUGAUUAGCUAGUUGGUUGGGUAAUGGCUCACCAAGGCGACAAUCAGUAGCUGGUCUGAGAGGAUGAUCAGCCUCACUGGGACUGAGACACGGCCAGACUCCUACGGGAGGCAGCAGUGGGGAAUAUUGGACAAUGGGCGCAAGCCUGAUCCAGCCAUGCCGCGUGGAUGAUGAAGGCCCUAGGGUUGUAAAGUCCUUUCGGCGGGGAAGAUAAUGACGGUACCCGCAGAAGAAGCCCCGGCUAACUUCGUGCCAGCCGCCGCCGUAAUAC